AUUGAACGCUGGCGGCAUGCCUUACACAUGCAAGUCGAACGGCAGCGCGGACUUCGGUCUGGCGGCGAGUGGCGAACGGGUGAGUAAAGUAUCGGAACGUGCCCAGUCGUGGGGGAUAACGUAGCGAAAGUUACGCUAAUACCGCAUACGAUCUAUGGAUGAAAGCGGGGGAUCGCAAGACCUCGCGCGAUUGGAGCGGCCGAUAUCAGAUUAGGUAGUUGGUGGGGUAAAGGCUCACCAAGCCGACGAUCUGUAGCUGGUCUGAGAGGACGACCAGCCACACUGGGACUGAGACACGGCCCAGACUCCUACGGGAGGCAGCAGUGGGGAAUUUUGGACAAUGGGCGAAAGCCUGAUCCAGCCAUGCCGCGUGCAGGAUGAAGGCCUUCGGGUUGUAAACUGCUUUUGUACGGAACGAAAAGGUUUGGCCUAAUAAGCUGAGCUCAUGACGGUACCGUAAGAAUAAGCACCGGCUAACUACGUGCCAGCCGCCGCAGUAA
rnacentral:rRNA from 1 species